GCAGUCGACGGUGAUGGGGAGCUUGCUCCUCUGAUCAGUGGCGAACGGGUGAGUAACACGUGAGUAACCUGCCCUUCACUCUGGGAUAACGUCGGGAAACCGGUGCUAAUACUGGAUAUGACCUGCUCGGGCAUCCGAUGUGGGUGGAAAGAUUUAUUGGUGGAGGAUGGACUCGCGGCCUAUCAGCUUGUUGGUGAGGUAAUGGCUCACCAAGGCGACGACGGGUAGCCGGCCUGAGAGGGCGAUCGGCCACACUGGGACUGAGGCACGGCCCAGACUCCUACGGGAGGCAGCAGUGGGGAAUAUUGCACAAUGGGCGAAAGCCUGAUGCAGCGACGCCGCGUGAGGGAUGAAGGCCUUCGGGUUGUAAACCUCUUUCAGCAGGGAAGAAGCGGCCGGGUUUUCUUGGUUGUGACGGUACCUGCAGAAGAAGCACCGGCUAACUACGUGCCAGCAGCCGCGGUAAUACGUAGGGUGCAAGCGUUGUCCGGAAUUAUUGGGCGUAAAGAGCUUGUAGGUGGUUUGUCGCGUCUGUUGUGAAAUUUCGGGGCUCAACCCCGAACUUGCAGUGGAUACGGGCAGACUAGAGUGUGGUAGGGGAGACUGGAAUUCCUGGUGUAGCGGUGAAAUGCGCAGAUAUCAGGAGGAACACCGAUGGCGAAGGCAGGUCUCUGGGCCAUUACUGACACUGAGAAGCGAAAGCAUGGGGAGCGAACAGGAUUAGAUACCCUGGUAGAAUCACUAAUG
rnacentral:rRNA from 1 species